GUAGCCUCUAGCUUUCAGUACAUCAUGAAGAGAAGAAAGCAGUGGAAAUUUCUUCAAGAGAAGUUGCCCCAGCAGUGACUGGAAUGGCACCUGGCCUGAUGGGAGUGGUUGGAGGUUGUCCGAAAGUAUCUCCUGUUCUAAAACCAUUUUUCUUCCUGUAUCCC